AGAGUUUGAUUCUGGCUCAGAACGAACGCUGGCGGCGUGGAUAAGACAUGCAAGUCGAACGGUGACUAAAAGGUAGUAAUAUUUUUUAGUUAUAGUGGCGAAAGGGUGCGUAACACGUGGGUAAUCUGCCGUAAUGUUUGGAAUAACUUGCCGAAAGGUAAGCUAAUACCGGAUGUGGAACUCUUGAGGCAUCUUAAGAGUUCCAAAGCUGGGGACCGCAAGGCCUGGCGCAUUAUGAUGAGCCCGCGGCCUAUCAGCUUGUUGGUGAGGUAAUGGCUCACCAAGGCUAAGACGGGUAGCCGGUCUGAGAGGACGGUCGGCCACACUGGAACUGAGACACGGUCCAGACACCUACGGGUGGCAGCAGUCGAGAAUCAUUCACAAUGGGGGAAACCCUGAUGGUGCGACGCCGCGUGGGGGAUGAAGGUCUUCGGAUUGUAAACCCCUGUCAUUUGUGAACAAACCUUUUGGUUUAAUAGAUCAAAAGCUGAUAGUAGCAAAAGAGGAAGGGACGGCUAACUCCGUGCCAGCAGCCGCGGUAAUACGGAGGUCCCAAGCGUUGUUCGGAUUCACUGGGCGUAAAGAGUGCGUAGGUGGCUAGGUAAGUUUGAUGUGAAAGCUCCGAGCUCAACUCGGAAAUUGCAUUGAAAACUGCUUGGCUAGAGGGUCGGAAGGGAGACUGGAAUUUUCGGUGUAGCAGUGAAAUGCGUAGAUAUCGAGAGGAACACCAGUGGCGAAGGCGAGUCUCUGGACGAAUCCUGACACUGAGGCACGAAAGCUAGGGGAGCAAACAGGAUUAGAUACCCUGGUAGUCCUAGCCGUAAACGGUGCACACUUGCUA
rnacentral:rRNA from 1 species